GUGUCAGCCGCCGCGGUAAGACAGAGGGUGCGAACGUUGCUCGGAAUUACUGGGCGUAAAGCGUGUGUAGGCGGCCACGCAAGUCGGAUGUGAAAGCCCUGGGCUCAACCCAGGAAGUGCACCCGAUACUGCGACGGCUUGAGUACCGGAGAGGUUGGUGGAAUUCUCGGUGUAGAGGUGAAAUUCGUAGAUAUCGAGAGGAACACCAGUGGCGAAGGCGGCCAACUGGACGAGUACUGACGCUGAGACACGAAAGCGUGGGGAGCAAACAGGAUUAGAUACCCUAGUAGUCC
rnacentral:rRNA from 1 species